rnacentral:tmRNA from 1 species
ACCCUUUCAACCGGCGGGGCCGCUCUCUAUAUUAAGGGGGUCGACGGGAAACCGCCGACUAUGGCGAUAAACGCCUCACGGAAUAGACGUGACGGACCCGGGGGCAGUGCCCGGCGCCUCCACCAAACCAAUCGGGCGCGACGUUGCGCGCCGACCAUGGGGGCGAUACAGGCUCGACGUCCGUGAUAAAGGUGCGGUUUUUGCCCGGUAUGGUUCCGCCGUUAUCGGGCCGUAUGACAAGUGCCAACGACAACGAGAUGGCACUCGCUGCCUAAUUAGGUAAGCGCGGUUCGGGGGGCACCGGGCAACAGAAGCCCCCCACU